rnacentral:rRNA from 1 species
UACGCAGGGGGCUAGCGUUGCUCGGAAUUACUGGGCGUAAAGGGAGCGUAGGCGGGUUAUCAAGUUGGAGGUGAAAGCCCAGGGCUCAACCUUGGAAUUGCCUUCAAAACUGAUAGCCUAGAGUAUGAUAGAGGUAAGUGGAACUCCGAGUGUAGAGGUGAAAUUCGUAGAUAUUCGGAAGAACACCAGUGGCGAAGGCGACUUACUGGAUCAUGACUGACGCUGAGGCUCGAAAGCGUGGGGAGCAAACAGG